UACGGGGGGGGCAAGCGUUGUUCGGAAUUACUGGGCGUAAAGCGCGCGCAGGCGGUCUUCCAAGUCAGUGGUGAAAGCCCGGAGCUCAACUCCGGAACUGCCAUUGAAACUGUAAGACUUGAGGAUGAGAGAGGUGAGUGGAAUUCCCAGUGUAGAGGUGAAAUUCGUAGAUAUUGGGAAGAACACCGGUGGCGAAGGCGGCAUCCUGGCCCUGUCCUGACGCUCAGGGGCGAAAGCGUGGGGAGCAAACCGG
rnacentral:rRNA from 1 species